rnacentral:misc_RNA from 2 species
CCCAACUAUCCCUAUUAAUCAUUACGGUGAUUUAGAAACCAACAAAACAGGACCACCGUCCUAUUUUAUUAUUCCAUGUUAAUGUAUUCAAACGUAAGCCUGCUUUGAACACUCUAAUUUUUUCAAGGUAAAGGUCCUGGUUUCCCACUACGCUAAAUUAAUAACAUGAUGGUUCCCCAGAAGGUAGAAAUUCCACACGCCAGUACAGACAAUUGCCCGACCAGCGGUAGAACCCCGAAAUUCAACUACGAGCUUUUUAACUGCAACAACUUUAAUAUACGCUAUUGGAGCUGGAAUUACCACGGCUGCUGGCACCAGACUUGCCCUCCAA